GAUGUACUCCCUCUGUCCCGAAAUUCUUGUCUUAGAUUUGUCCAAAUACAGAUGUAUCAAGUCACGUUUUAGUAUUAUAUGCAUCCGUAUCUAGACAAAUUUAGGACAAGAAUUUUGGGACGAAGGGAGUAUAUC
rfam:Triticum aestivum genome assembly, contig: Triticum_aestivum_CS42_TGACv1_scaffold_424706_5BS